rnacentral:rRNA from 1 species
AUUGAACGCUGGCGGCAUGCCUUACACAUGCAAGUCGAACGGUAACAGGUCUUCGGUUGCUGACGAGUGGCGGACGGGUGAGUAAUACAUCGGAACGUGCCCGAUCGUGGGGGAUAACGAGGCGAAAGCUUUGCUAAUACCGCAUACGAUCUACGGAUGAAAGCGGGGGAUCUUCGGACCUCGCGCGGACGGAGCGGCCGAUGGCAGAUUAGGUAGUUGGUGGGAUAAAAGCUUACCAAGCCGACGAUCUGUAGCUGGUCUGAGAGGAUGAUCAGCCACACUGGGACUGAGACACGGCCCAGACUCCUACGGGAGGCAGCAGUGGGGAAUUUUGGACAAUGGGCGAAAGCCUGAUCCAGCCAUGCCGCGUGAAGGAUGAAGGCCUUUGGGUUGUAAACUGCUUUUGUACGGAACGAAAAGCCUCUUUCUAAUAAAGAGGGGUCAUGACGGUACCGUAAGAAUAAGCACCGGCUAACUACGUG